GAUGAACGCUGGCGGCGCGCCUAACACAUGCAAGUCGAACGGCACCUGCCUUCGGGCAGAAGCGAGUGGCGAACGGCUGAGUAACACGUGGAGAACCUGCCCCCUCCCCCGGGAUAGCCGCCCGAAAGGACGGGUAAUACCGGAUACCCCGAGGUGCCGCAUGGCACCCCGGCUAAAGCCCCGACGGGAGGGGAUGGCUCCGCGGCCCAUCAGGUAGACGGCGGGGUGACGGCCCACCGUGCCGACAACGGGUAGCCGGGUUGAGAGACCGACCGGCCAGAUUGGGACUGAGACACGGCCCAGACUCCUACGGGAGGCAGCAGUGGGGAAUCUUGCGCAAUGGGGGGAACCCUGACGCAGCGACGCCGCGUGCGGGACGGAGGCCUUCGGGUCGUAAACCGCUUUCAGCAGGGAAGAGUCAAGACU
rnacentral:rRNA from 1 species